rnacentral:rRNA from 1 species
GGAUUAGAUACCCUGGUAGUCCAUGCCGUAAACGUUGUAUACUAGGUGUGGGAGGAUUUAUCCCCUUCCGUGCCCAAGCUAACGCGAUAAGUAUACCGCCUGGGGACUACGGCCGCAAGGCUAAAACUCAAAGGAAUUGACGGGGACCCGCACAAGCGGUGGAGCAUGUGGCUUAAUUCGAGGCAACGCGAAGAACCUUACCUGGGUUUGACAUAUAUCGGACCGCCCUAGAGAUAGGGCUUUUCUUCGGAACUGAUAUACAGGUGCUGCAUGGCUGUCGUCAGCUCGUGCCG